UACAGAGGGUGCAAGCGUUAAUCGGAAUUACUGGGCGUAAAGCGUGCGUAGUCGGUAUUGAGAGUCGCGGGUGAAAUCCCAGGGCUUAACCCUGGAACUGCCUGCGAGACCUCAGUACUAGAGUGUGAGAGGGGAUAGUGGAAUACCCAGUGUAGCGGUGAAAUGCGUAGAGAUUGGGUGGAACACCGGUGGCGAAGGCGGCUAUCUGGCUCACAACUGACGAUCAGGCACGAAAGCAUGGGGAGCAAACAGG
rnacentral:rRNA from 1 species